rnacentral:lncRNA from 1 species
UGAUUGUGGAUCAUUUUUGUUCCAUUUUAAAAGAGUAAGAGUUAGGGUUCUUGAGUGAAGAAGAGAAGAAGAGAGAAAGAAGAGAAGAAGAAGAAGAAGUGGGAGCUAGGGUUGUGGAUGCAAGACGUUUUCUUCAUCAAAUUUCUUGGGGAAUCUUAGUAAAGGUAUGUGAGUUCUUUAUCUAGGGCAAGCUAUCACCCUAGAG